rnacentral:rRNA from 1 species
CAUGCAAGUCGAGCGGACAGAAGGGAGCUUGCUCCCGGAUGUUAGCGGCGGACGGGUGAGUAACACGUGGGUAACCUGCCUGUAAGACUGGGAUAACUCCGGGAAACCGGAGCUAAUACCGGAUAGUUCCUUGAACCGCAUGGUUCAAGGAUGAAAGACGGUUUCGGCUGUCACUUACAGAUGGACCCGCGGCGCAUUAGCUAGUUGGUGGGGUAAUGGCUCACCAAGGCGACGAUGCGUAGCCGACCUGAGAGGGUGAUCGGCCACACUGGGACUGAGACACGGCCCAGACUCCUACGGGAGGCAGCAGUAGGGAAUCUUCCGCAAUGGACGAAAGUCUGACGGAGCAACGCCGCGUGAGUGAUGAAGGUUUUCGGAUCGUAAAGCUCUGUUGUUAGGGAAGAACAAGUGCGAGAGUAACUGCUCGCACCUUGACGGUACCUAACCAGAAAGCCACGGCUACUACGUGCCAGCAGCCGGGUAAUACGUAGGUGGCAAGCGUUGUCCGGAAUUAUUGGGCGUAAAGGGCUCGCAGGCGGUUUCUUAAGUCUGAUGUGAAAGCCCCCGGCUCAACCGGGGAGGGUCAUUGGAAACUGGGAAACUUGAGUGCAGAAGAGGAGAGUGGAAUUCCACGUGUAGCGGUGAAAUGCGUAGAGAUGUGGAGGAACACCAGUGGCGAAGGCGACUCUCUGGUCUGUAACUGACGCUGAGGAGCGAAAGCGUGGGGAGCGAACAGGAUUAGAUACCCUGGUAGUCCACGCCGUAAACGAUGAGUGCUAAGUGUUAGGGGGUUUCCGCCCCUUAGUGCUGCAGCUAACGCAUUAAGCACUCCGCCUGGGGAGUACGGUCGCAAGACUGAAACUCAAAGGAAUUGACGGGGGCCCGCACAAGCGGUGGAGCAUGUGGUUUAAUUCGAAGCAACGCGAAGAACCUUACCAGGUCUUGACAUCCUCUGACAACCCUAGAGAUAGGGCUUUCCCUUCGGGGACAGAGUGACAGGUGGUGCAUGGUUGUCGUCAGCUCGUGUCGUGAGAUGUUGGGUUAAGUCCCGCAACGAGCGCAACCCUUGAUCUUAGUUGCCAGCAUUCAGUUGGGCACUCUAAGGUGACUGCCGGUGACAAACCGGAGGAAGGUGGGGAUGACGUCAAAUCAUCAUGCCCCUUAUGACCUGGGCUACACACGUGCUACAAUGGACAGAACAAAGGGCUGCAAGACCGCAAGGUUUAGCCAAUCCCAUAAAUCUGUUCUCAGUUCGGAUCGCAGUCUGCAACUCGACUGCGUGAAGCUGGAAUCGCUAGUAAUCGCGGAUCAGCAUGCCGCGGUGAAUACGUUCCCGGGCCUUGUACACACCGCCCGUCACACCACGAGAGUUUGCAACACCCGAAGUCGGUGAGGUAACCUUUAUGGAGCCAGCCGCCGAAGGUGGGGCAGAUGAUUGGGGUGAAGUCGUAACAAGGUAGCCGUAUCGGAAGGUGC